UAGGGCCUGUUUUCUUCCACCUUGCUAAACUUUAGAUGCUAAAAGUUGCUAAACUUUAGUUGCUAAACUUUAGCAAAGCUGUUUGGAUACUCUUGCUAAAAGGCAUUUAAUGAGCUGUAAAAGGACCUAUCUACCCUUAUUAAAGGUGAGCAGGAGGGGGGAGACAAGCAAUAAAUGAGGGGUAUAUGUUGUCCAGCCCACCUUUUAGCAAGUUUUAGCAACCAAAAACUUGCUAAAGUGCUAAACUUUAGCAACUCAACUUUAGCAAGUUUUAGCAAGAGUGUUUUGCAGUUUAGCAGCUCAAAGUUGCUAAACUUUAGCAUCUAAAGUUUAGCAAGGUGGAAGAAAACAGGCCCUUAAU
rnacentral:lncRNA from 1 species